rnacentral:rRNA from 1 species
AGAACGAACGUUGGCGGCGUGGAUUAGGCAUGCAAGUCGAACGAAUCCCGGUAGCAAUAUCGGGGGAAGUGGCGAAAGGGGCAGUAAGGCGUGGAUAACCUACCCUGGGGACUGGGAUAGCCUUCCUAACGGAAGGGUAAUACUGGGCGAUCUGACGGGACGACAUCUUCCUGUCAGGAAAUGAAUUUCGCCUCGGGAGGGGUCCACGUGCUAUUAGCUUGUUGGCGGGGUAACGGUCCACCAAGGCUAAGACGGGUAGCUGGUCUGAGAGGACGACCAGCCACACUGGAACUGAGACACGGUCCAGACACCUACGGGUGGCAGCAGUCGAGAAUUUUUCACAAUGGGCGCAAGCCUGAUGGAGCGACGCCGCGUGGGGGAUGAAUGGCUUCGGCCCGUAAACCCCUGUCAUUUGCGAUCAACCGUUGUUGUUUAAGAGAUGACAACCUGAUAGUGGCGAAAGAGGAAGGGACGGCUAACUCUGUGCCAGCAGCCGCGGUAAUACAGAGGUCCCAAGCGUUGUUCGGAUUCACUGGGCGUAAAGGGUGCGUAGGUGGCGGGGUAAGUCGGAUGUGAAAUCUCCGAGCUCAACUCGGAAAUGGCAUUGGAAACUGCUCUGCUCGAGGGUUGGAGGGGGGACUGGAAUACUUGGUGUAGCAGUGAAAUGCGUAGAUAUCAAGUGGAACACCAGUGGCGAAGGCGAGUCCCUGGACAACUCCUGACACUGAGGCACGAAAGCUAGGGGAGCAAACGGGAUUAGAUACCCCGGUAGUCCUGGCCCUAAACGGUGCACGUUUGCUGUAAGUGGAAUCGACCCCACUUGUGGCGUAGUUAACACGAUAAACGUGCCGCCUGGGAAGUACGGCC